rnacentral:rRNA from 1 species
ACGUCACAGAGGGUGAGAAUCCCGUGUUCGGCCGGCUGCCUCCUUCCAUGUGAAGUGCCUUCGACGAGUCGAGUUGUUUGGGAAUGCAGCUCUAAAUGGGUGGUAAACUCCAUCUAAAGCUAAAUAUUGGCGGGAGACCGAUAGCGCACAAGUAGAGUGAUCGAAAGAUGAAAAGCACUUUGAAAAGAGAGUUAAAAAGUACGUGAAAUUGUUGAAAGGGAAGCGCUUGAGACCAGACUCGGCUGGAGGUGAUCAGGCUCGGUUCUCCGGGCUGCACUUGCCUCUGGUCGGGCCAGCAUCGGUUGUGACGGUGGGAUAAAGGCCUGGGGAAUGUGGCUCCUCUCGGGGAGUGUUAUAGCCCCGGGUGCCAUGCCACCUGCCGCGACCGAGGACCGCGCUUCGGCUAGGAUGCUGGCGUAAUGGUCUUCAGCGACCCGUCUUGAAACACGGACCAAGGAGUCUAACAUCUAUGCGAGUGUUCGGGUGGAAAACCCCUGCGCGUAAUGAAAGUGAACGGAGGUGUGAAGCCGUGAGGCCGCAACAUCGACCGAUCCUGAUGUCUUCGGAUGGAUUUGAGUAGGAGCAUAGCUGUUGGGACCCGAAAGAUGGUGAACUAUGCCUGAAUAGGGUGAAGCCAGAGGAAACUCUGGUGGAGGCUCGCAGCGGUUCUGACGUGCAAAUCGAUCGUCAAAUUUGGGUAUAGGGGCGAAAGACUAAUCGA